rnacentral:rRNA from 1 species
AGCGAACGCUGGCGGCAGGCCUAACACAUGCAAGUCGAGCGGCCGUAGCAAUACGGCAGCGGCAGACGGGAGAGUAACACGUGGGAACGCGCCCUUCGGUUCGGGAUAACUCAGGGAAACUUGAGCUAAUACCGGAUACGCCCUUACGGGGAAAGAUUUAUUGCCGAAGGAACGGCCCGCGUGCGGUUAGCUUGUUGGUUAGGUGACGGCUCACCAAGGCGACGAUCGGUAGCUGGUCUGAGGGGAUGACCAGGCUCACCGGGACUGAGACACGGCCCAGGCUCCUACGGGAGGCAGCAGUGGGGAAUAUUGGACAAUGGGCGCAAGCCUGAUCCAGCCAUGCCGCGUGGGUGAUGAAGGCCCUAGGGUUGUAAAGCCCUUUCAGCGGGGAAGAUAAUGACGGUACCCGCAGAAGAAGCCCCGGCUAACUUCGUGCCAGCAGCCGCGGUAACAC